rnacentral:rRNA from 1 species
CCUACGGGGGGCAGCAGUGAGGAAUAUUGGUCAAUGGGCGGAAGCCUGAACCAGCCAAGUAGCGUGCAGGAUGACGGCCCUACGGGUUGUAAACUGCUUUUAUACGGGAAUAACGGGGUCCUUGCGAGGGCCCGAUGAGAGUACCCGGAGAAAAAGCAUCGGCUAACUCCGUGCCAGCAGCCGCGGUAAUACGGAGGAUGCGAGCGUUAUCCGGAUUUAUUGGGUUUAAAGGGUGCGUAGGCGGGCUGUUAAGUCAGCGGUCAAAUGUCGGGGCUCAACCCCGGCCUGCCGUUGAAACUGGCGGCCUCGAGUGGGCGAGAAGUAUGCGGAAUGCGUGGUGUAGCGGUGAAAUGCUUAGAUAUGACGAAGAACCCCGAUUGCGAAGGCAGCUUGCUGCAGCGGAACUGACGCUGAUGCUCGAAAGCGCGGGUAUCGAACAGGAUUAGAUACCCCAGUAGU